AUAAAUUUGUACUCCUAGGAUAUUCAAUAUUUCAUUUGAAAAAUUUCCCGUUUCAAUGUGACUGUUUCUCUAUCACUUAUAUUAUAAUACCUUGAGAGGAAAGGGAUAAUCUGUCGUCUGUUGACUUCUUCCUUCCUUUCUGAGGCUCUGAGGAUCACAUACGAAGAAAAACUUCAUAUAUAAGUGAACGAAAUCAAAGAGUCAUUAUCUCAGCGCAGUCUCCCCUGUAAAUGGAAGUCUCUCGAUCAAAGAAAUAGUUUUAUGAGGGACUGGAAUAUUUAUAACACACUAAUCGAACUAAAUUGACCGAAGUGCUUUGACUGGUUUCACUACAUUCUGAAACAAACUGGACUUGGCGAUGAGUCCCCAGCGUCUUCGGCUCAAUAAAUACGAGUUUAUAACAACCGUGGCAUGAAUAUUGGAAACUACUGCGGGAGCCAGAAAUUUAAUGUCAUGUAUCAGAACCUUGUUUAUUUUCCAAGACAAGCAAACAUUGUAUUCUUCCAUAGUAUCCUUAAUAUUUGUUUCGGCUGUAGCAGUCCCAGGCCACGAUGGAUCGCCGCCAGUUCAGUACACAGCGAUUUUCCUGAAAUGUGUUCAACUUCUACGUCCAUUAAAUGAUCAGUCCUUGUGAGAGAGCACUUCCUGUGGCUGGCCCGGGCUGAGAUGAACUGAUUACUGAUAUUCUCCUAGAUUAUGUUUGGCGGCAAGCUUGCUGAUGUGGUAGGUGUGAUACGAGCAACUCGAAAAAUAUUUUUCACCAUCAUAAUUGAGCCACUCAAGGUUAUGGUAAGUCUUACCACACCUUUGUCCAGAAGCACUGCUCAGGCAAUCGAUUCAUUCGCGAGUAACGAUGCGCUGACAAGCUAUUCAGAAAAUGCACGCUACCUAACUCUUUGGUUUUAUACGAGUAUAUUUUGAUAAUAUGAAGCAGAAGAAAAUGAAAUAGAAUUUAUUUUCAACUUCAACCAAUAAUGAAAUUAGACUCCUUUAAUUACAAACAAUACGACAGAAGACGGCCACACAAUAGCUUUUCAAAAAGCAAUCCUACAGAGAGACUACCAUCAACUAGACUUUUAGUAUGGUUUAGUUUUAUUGUCACAACUUUUUGACAGGUAGGAUCGCAGUGGCAAGCUACAGCUAGCAACAGUUGAAUCACCACAGAGUCUAAUUUACCGCUUACAAGUACAAAAAAAAUGCAUACCAGAAAUGCAUUCAUUUGGGUUCAACUGAGGAUAACGAUCUCAAAGCGAACGAUAUAUGACAAUAGAGAUCGUAACAAUAUCGUUUGUAUAUUAAUCAUCUCUAUUAGAAGGUAAGACUACUAUGUCGCUGAAGGUAGUGACAAACUAUAUAAACGUGCGUAUGAACAUUUAUAAGGCAUGUGUCACGAGGUCAAUUAAGUAUAAGGCGCGUUUCAUGAAAUCCAUCAUGGUGGUUCGUGAGCAUCAAACCCUCACGAAAUAUGGAAAACUGGCAUUGAAAAAUGUUCAGCAUACAAACGCUGACUCAGUCGACGUAACACCAGAAAUAAUAAAAUUCAUAUUCAAUAAAAUCAGUAGAAAGAAGUUAUCCAGCGCCAGAGAUUCAUUCAACUUGAUUCAACUAAGUAGGUAUAACUACAACAAAGGAACUGCCUAAAUUAUUCAUCGCAACGAUGCAAACAAGUGAAAGACAAAGAUUAACAAUAUUUAUUUAAUCUACACUAUUGCAAUUAAACUAUGUAAAUGAACAACUGGACAAAAAUACAGUUUUGUAGCUCCAUAUAAAUCGUUAUUUUUUUAUAAAAAUGUUAACCGAUCAUUUAGUUGCGAGAUGACUGAAGCAACAUAAGGUUUGGGAACUGUUUUGCGUCUCAAUGGUCUAAAAAUACCGUAUAAGGAGAGAUACCCUUUAUCGCAUGGAUUUUGCUUGAUAAUAUGCACCUUUACUUAAUUACAGUUAUCAAGCAUAAGAUUAAUAGCAGCUACGGGGAACAGUUUAGUUCAUAAUUAUAGUUACUCGUUAAUGCCCAACAGUUAGUAACAACUUCAAGGAUGAAGCAAGAGGAUAACGUCAGAGCUUUCAAAACCGAAAAAAAGUCUGGAGUAAGGACUUGCAGGAGGACGUAGUCAAGACUGCCAAGAAGGCAUAGUCAAGACUGCCAAGAAGGCAUAGUCAAGACUGACAAGAAGGCAUAGUCAAGACUGCCAAGAGGACGUAGUCAAGAUUGCAAACAAGGCAUAGUCAAGACUGCCAAGAAGGCGUAGUCAAGACUGCCCAGAGGACAUAGUCAAGAUUGCAAAGAAGGCGUAGUCAAGACUGUCAAAAAGGCAUAGUCAAGACUGUCAAAAAGGCAUAGUCAAGACUGUCAAAAAGGCGUGGUCAAGACUGCCAAGUGGGGCGUGCUAGCAAUUGCCGUUCCCUCUCAGCCAUUCUUGCCCGUUCCCUUGACUGAGCUUCAGAUCGUCUGGCUGACUCUUGCACUAAUCGUUGGGCUCUGGCCUGGAAAAAUCAAUAGACACCAAUUAAUAUUAAUAUAUUGGAUGCAUACUUUAAUUCUACUUGACAAAUGAAGUAUGAUAAAUACAUCUUGUUGGUCAGCUGUAAUAUAUUGACUUAGAGAGACUCACUUGCAACUUGUUGGUCCUGUAUGAUAUGUGCUGCAUGUCGGACACCAGGUUCUUGGCGAUAUGUGUGUACUUGGUCAAUUCUUCAAACUGAAACAUUGGUAGCAAGUUGCAAAUAGCAAUUUUGUCAUCAUCGUAAUAAUUCAAUUUACUGGCUCUAAAAAAAAUAUAUUGCACAUGAUGUCGGAAAGGUUACGAACUUUCGUGCAUAUGUCUUCAUUUUUGUCCAUCCCUUUCUGUAAACCAUUGAGAACGAUUUAAUCUUCACCCUUUAUUAAAUUAACGUCAUUAUUGUCAAUUCUAAUAAUUUUAUUCGAAGCAGUCAUUUAGCGACCGGGCUGGUUGCGACUUUUCUCAAUGCUUCCGAGGCUUUCCCUGCAGCCAAGCAGAAAUCUUGCAUCUCUGGCCGGCAACAGACAGAUUCACUUCAACCUUCACACAUCCAACUCGUCCCUGUGUCGUCUCGCGUGGUCUCAGCCUCUAGCCGGUUCUUCAACUGGACAACUCCUCACCUGCACCCAGAAGGCCUGUUCUUCCCACAAAGAAGCCGAUGAAUGUCGUGACGAGAUGUUCAUGAUAACGGAGGGGGGCACAACUUUCCUCUACCUCUCCAGUGGACGGGCGACCACGGCUUUCGUUUCUUUUUGAAUAAAUUCAAAUUUGAAUCUGGA